CCUACGGGAGGCAGCAGUGAGGAAUAUUGGUCAAUGGACGCAAGUCUGAACCAGCCAUGCCGCGUGCAGGAAGACGGCUCUAUGAGUUGUAAACUGCUUUUGUACGAGGGUAAACGCAGAUACGCGUAUCUGUCUGAAAGUAUCGUACGACUAAGGAUCGGCCAACUCCGUGCCAGCAGCCGCGGUAAUACGGAGGAUUCAAGCGUUAUCCGGAUUUGUUGGGUUUAAAGGGUGCGUUGGCGGUCGGAUAAGUUAGAGUUGAACUCCCGAGGCUCAACUUCGGAAUUGCCUCUGAUACUGGUCGGCUAGAGAGUAGUUGCGGUAUGCGGAAUGUAUGGUGUAGCGGUGAAAUGCUUAGAGAUCAUACAGAACACCGAUUGCGAAGGCAGCUUACCAAGCUACUUCUGACGUUGAGGCACGAAAGCGUGGGGAGCAAACAGGAUUAGAUACCCCGGUAGUC
rnacentral:rRNA from 1 species